GUGGCUGUGGCGGAAUGGCAGACGCGCAUGCUUGAGGGGCAUGUGGGAGACCGUGCUGGUUCGAGUCCAGUCAGCCACACCA
rnacentral:tRNA from 8 species